AUCGCUUCUCGGCCUUUUGGCUAAGAUCAAGUGUAAAAUACUCUCCUAGUGAAUCAUUUUCCUUUAAAUUUUUUAAUAAUAUUUUUGAAAUAUAGAAGUAGCUGAAGUUUUCCACUAAAACAUUAUUUUUCUUUUUUUUU
rnacentral:snRNA from 1 species